CACACAGGAGGUUUAUCUCUGAGAAGAAGUGGGUGUAGCCUAGAAGAUGAGAGUGUUGCAUUUUUUCUAUCUAGUGACAGUCAUUCCUGGUAUCCUGUCUCAGAUGCAGCUACAAGAAUCAGGACCUGGCCUGGUGAAACCCACCCAGUCACUCUUCCUCACCUGCUCUGUCACUGGUUUUUCCAUCACCAGUGGUUAUUACUGGAUCUGGAUCCGGCAGUCACAUGGGAAACACCUAGAAUGGAUGGGGUACAUGACUUACAGCGGGGAAACUUUCUACAACCCAUCCCUCAAGAGCCCAAUCUCCAUUACUAGAGAAACAUCCAAGAACCAGUUUUUCCUGCAAUUGAACUCUGUGACCACAGAGGACACAGCCAUGUAUUACUGUGCAGGAGACACAUGUGAAGUGCAGCUGCUGGAAACUUGGGGAGACCUAGUGCAGCCUGGAAAUUCUCCAAAACUCUACUGUGCCACCCAAGGAUUCACUUUAAGUAACCAGUGGAUGAACUGGGUCUGCCAGCCUUCAAGGAAGGGGCUCAAGUGGGUUGCUCAAAUUCAUCUUGAAUCUAAUAAUUAUUAA